CGGGACGGGUGAGUAACGCGUGGGUAACCCGCCUCAUACAGGGGGAUAACAGUUAGAAAUAGGCUGCUAAUACCGCAUAAGACCACAGUACUGCAUGGUACAGUGGUAAAAACUCCGGUGGUAUGAGAUGGACCCGCGUCUGAUUAGGUAGUUGGUGAGGUAACGGCCCACCAAGCCGACGAUCAGUAGCCGACCUGAGAGGGUGACCGGCCACAUUGGGACUGAGACACGGCCCAG
rnacentral:rRNA from 1 species